GACGAACGCUGGCGGCAUGCCUAACACAUGCAAGUCGAACGGAGAUUAUUUCGGUAAUCUUAGUGGCGAACGGGUGAGUAACGCGUGGGCAACCUGCCCUCUAGAUGGGGACAACAUCCCGAAAGGGGUGCUAAUACCGAAUGUGACAGCAACCUCGCAUGAGGAUGCUGUGAAAGAUGGCCUCUAUUUAUAAGCUAUCGCUAGAGGAUGGGCCUGCGUCUGAUUAGCUAGUUGGUGGGGUAACGGCCUACCAAGGCGAUGAUCAGUAGCCGGUCUGAGAGGAUGAACGGCCACAUUGGGACUGAGACACGGCCCAGACUCCUACGGGAGGCAGCAGUGGGGAAUCUUCCGCAAUGGGCGAAAGCCUGACGGAGCAAUGCCGCGUGAGUGAUGAAGGAAUUCGUUCCGUAAAGCUCUUUUGUUUAUGACGAAUGUGCAGAUUGUGAACAAUGAUCUGUAAUGACGGUAGUAAACGAAUAAGCCACGGCUAACUACGUG
rnacentral:rRNA from 1 species